rnacentral:rRNA from 1 species
CGUUCUGUAGCCUGUGAAGGGAUACCUGUGAAGGAUCCUGGAGGUAUCAGAAGUGCGAAUGCUGACAUAAGUAACGAUAAAAGAAGUGAAAAACUUCUUCGCCGAAAAUCCAAGGGUUUCUGCGCAAGGUUAAUCCGCGCAGAGUUAGUCGGCACCUAAGGCGAGGGCGAAAGCCGUAGUCGAUGGAAAUAAGGUUAAUAUUCCUUAACCAGAUGGAAGUGACGAAUCUUGUAAAUUGUGAGUUCUUAAUGGAUUGAACUUGCCGUGAAAAGGUUCCAAGAAAUAGCUCCAUCAUUAGACCGUACCCUAAACCGACACAGGUGGAUUAAUAGAGUAUAUUUAGGCGCUUGAGAGAAUGAUGUUGAAGGAACUCGGCAAAAUGCUUCCGUAACUUCGGAAUAAGGAAGACCUUUUUGUAGGCAACUACUUAAGGGUGGCACAAGCCAGGGAGAAGCGACUGUUUAUCAAAAACACAGGGCUCUGCUAACACGUAAGUGGAUGUAUAGGGUCUGACGCCUGCCCGGUGCUGGAAGGUUAAUGCGAUGGGUGCAAGCUCAUUUCUGAAGCCCCAGUAAACGGCGGCCGUAACUAUAACGGUCCUAAGGUAGCGAAAUUCCUUGUCGGGUAAGUUCCGACCUGCAUGAAUGGCGUAACGAUUUCUCCGCUGUCUCCAACAUCAACUCAGUGAAAUUGAAUUCUCCGUGAAGAUGCGGAGUUCGCGUAGUUAGACGGAAAGACCCCGUGCACCUUUACUGCAACUUUACAUUGGUAUUAGGAAAAACAUAUUUAGCAUAGGAGGGAGACUUUGAAGCAAAAGCGUCAGCUUUUGUGGAGUCACCAGUGAAAUACCUCUUUUGUUUUUCUUGAUAUCUAACUGAUAGCCGUUAUCCGGCAUCAAGACAUUGUAUGGUGGGUAGUUUGACUGGGGCGGUCGCCUCCCAAAUAGUAACGGAGGCGUGCGAAGGUAAGCUCAGAACGGUCAGAAAUCGUUCGUAGAGUGCAAUGGCAUAAGCUUGCCUGACUGUGAGACUGACAAGUCGAGCAGAGUCGAAAGACGGUCAUAGUGAUCCGGUGGUUCUGAGUGGAAGGGCCAUCGCUCAACGGAUAAAAGGUACGCCGGGGAUAACAGGCUGAUACUGCCCAAGAGCU